rnacentral:lncRNA from 1 species
AUGAGGGGGUGGAUCCCAGCCAGGAGGAGUGAGCUGAGGCUUGUGCCACAGAAGGUACAGCUUUCGCAGUCUGCCCCCCUGGCUUUUCCCACCCCGCACCUCAUUCCUGUCAGUGAGUUCCUGUCUGUACUCUCCCUGUUGCUUCUCAGCCAGCUGACUUCACUCAGCCCCACAGAACAAAGGCUUCGUGUGUGUUGCUGCCGUGCUGAAGUCUGGACUCACCAUUUCAACCUGUGGAGGGCGGGGGCGGGGGCGGGGGCCACUUGUAACCCUUUUGUGUCAAGUUUCUGUAACCUACUGCAGUGUAAAGGUGUUCAGAAUGAAUUUCAGCAGAUAAUGAGUUAGGAGGAAUAAGCAUUCUCUACCACCACUUGAAUCCUCCCCUUCCUCCAACAUGUUGAUUCUAAUCCCAGGAACCAGAAUAAGAGAGUCCCUUCUCCUGAGGCAAAGUGAAUCAUGUUCAGUCCUGAGACAUCACUUAGGAAAGUGGAAAAUUAUCUUUAUGAAUGCAAAACCUGGUGGGGACUGGAGGGGGGGCUUGUGCCUGUGAUUGUGUGACCCUGUUCUGUAACUGCGGCCACUUUGAAAAUUGUACUUUGCUGGGGAUCGGCCAGCCGUCACCACCAAAUUUUGAUUGUACCCUUUCUCCCACCCUUUAAUCUGCCCUGUGUUUGGUCUGGGAAGAUGGGGCGGCUGGCUCAGACUUUUUGGAGUUUGUUCUUUUGCUGGAUGAGCACUCCAGUUUUCUUUCCCAUGAAAGUUGUUUCUGCUACAAAUCACUUGAUUCCGCUGUUUCAAUUUCAAAAUAAAAGGAAACAUAUUGAAAGCUGUGAGAGUCUAUGUCUCAGGGAGGGUUUGGGGGAUCUGGUUGCUGAGAUGGUCAGACCUCUGGGGGUGGAGUCUUGCUUUCCAGGGACCAGAGCCACUCAGGUUCGAAGUAGGCAUUUUUUCUUAAAUUUACAGAAUAGUAAAACAAGAGUGGCUUUUAAAUGGUGCCUUGCUCUUAAUUCCCUUGGCAUAUUGGUAUAAGGCCUUCACUAUUAAAAAUGUUGGGUAAUGUCUGCAGAGGAGUUGCAGCUAUUCUUCCUGAUACCUACCGUAAGAAGAACGAUGCCAAUGGCCUUGCGCGGGGAGGGUUGGUGGAAGGGAGCUCGAUCACCAUCUACUGUGACCUUGCCCUCUCUUUUUCUCCUUUCUGAAGACUAGAUGGGUGGAGGGACAUCCUUGUGUGAAACAACCUGGACCCUGACUUGGCUCUCCUGAUUCUUGGUCCAGCCUUUUCCUUAAAAGAGAAACAACUCCCCAUUUAAAGUGUCAUGUCAUUCCAGGUUAUCUUGGGCUUCCCUGGUGGCACAGAAGGUAAAGAAUCUGCCUGCGGUGCAGGAGACAGGUUCCAUCCCAGGGUUGGAAAGAUCCCUUGGAGAAGGGAAUGGCUACUCAUUCCAGUAUUCCUGCCUGGAAAAUACCAUAGAUGGAGGAGCUCGGUGCGCAACAGUCCACGGGGUUGCAGAGUUGGACAUUACUGAGCCACUAAGCGCACAUGCAGGUUAUGUUUUGAGUGGACAGAUGUGGCUACCCUUAGAAGUCUGGGGUAGAAUGAACACACUAAGAACUGUCCCUCCCACUUUUUUAAGCAGCCCCAGAUACUGAGCAGAUCAGUGAAACCUUGACUUCCACAGGGGAAGGUGGGGAAUAAUUACUAAGUAUACUGACGCCACACCUGCUCUCGUCCUCUGCGCAGUGACUCUGGAUGGGAUGGGAUGAAGUCAUUGGAUUAGUUUUAGUGUUGCUGUUACGAUGCCUUCCCAAAUAAUUGGGUAGAUGUUGGGGCAUGAUUCUCAAGCCUUAGGGGAAGCCUUAUAUAGCAGUGAAAGUGACUGAAAGUCACUCAGUUGUGUCCAACUCUUUCUGACCCCAUGGAGUGUAUAGUCCUUGGAAUUUUCUAGGCCAGAAUACUGGAGUGGGUAGCCUAUCCUUUCUCCAGGGGAUCUUCCUGNNNNNNNNNNNNNNNNNNNNNNNNNNNNNNNGCAGGUGGAUUCUUUACCAACUGAGCUAUGAGGGAAGCCCAAGGAGAGUAGUAUUUAUUUGUUCCCUGACUUGUUUCAGGAAUAAUUAAGGUAGGAAAGGAAAAAAGAAAAGGCUUUAGGGAAUUCCUUGGCAGUCGAGUGGUUAGAAUGCGGUGCUUUCACUGCCCAGACCCAGGUUCAAUCCUUGGUUGUGGAACGAAGAUUCUACAAGCCACUAGUAGCACAGCCCACCCACCCCCAUCCCC